GCACUACUAGCUUAAUGGUAAAGUCCUCCAAUGUCACUGAAGGGGAUGUCAGUUCGAGUCUGAUGUAGUGCG
rnacentral:tRNA from 3 species